rnacentral:tRNA from 1 species
GAGGGUAUAGUUCAAGUGGUAAGGCUCAUGCUUAGCAUGCAGGAGGUCCUGGGUUCAAUCCCCAGUACCUCCU